GAUGAACGCUAGCGGCAGGCCUAAUACAUGCGAGCCGAACGGUGUCUUCGGACAUAGUGGCGCACGGGUGCGUAACACGUAUGCAACCUACCUUACAUUGGGGGAUAGCCUUUCGAAAGGGAGAUUAAUACCGCAUAAGACAGUAGCUGGGCAUCCAGCAGCUGUUAAAGAUUUAUCGAUGUAAGCUGGGCAUGCGUCCAAUUAGCUAGUUGGUGAGGUAACGGCUCACCAAGGCAAUGAUUGGUAGGGGAACUGAGAGGUCAAUCCCCCACACGGGCACUGAGAUACGGGCCAGACUCCUACGGGAGGCAGCAGUAGGGAAUAUUGGGCAAUGGACGCAAGUCUGACCCAGCCAUGCCGCGUGCAGGAUGAAGGCGUUAUGCGUUGUAAACUGCUUUUAUACAGGAAGAAACGACUCUUGCGAGAGGCAUUGACGGUACUGUAUGAAUAAGCACCGGCUAACUCCGUGCCAGCCGCCGCCGUAAUAC
rnacentral:rRNA from 1 species